UUACAGUGUAUCCUCACUUGGAGAGGAUAGAUCUAGCUCACAGUCUGCGUUUGGGAUGGUAUAGCCAUCCAAUCCCCACAUGGAGGGGAUUGUCGUCGAGUACUCCGGAGUGUCGCGCGACUAGGACCACUUGGAGGUCCGGACCACAUGGAGGUCCGCAGACGGUCCCGGGCUUGGGUGCACUUGGAGCUCCCUCCCCACUUUGGGAUUGAAAGGUGAGUCAUGGGCGAGCCCUAGGGCCUCGCCACAGAUUGGGUAAAUGAAAAGGUUAAAGGUUUAUAAAUGUCAUUGAACAUUACUAUUCGAACAUGGAUCGAAUUUGUUAGCAUGGUAGCAAACCUUUAUUAUAUGAUGCAUGCAUUCAUAUUCAUGAUUAUGGGCAUAGUAGCAUAGUUUCCUACUAUUGCAUUUACAGUUUUCAGAUACAUAUCUAUCUAUCUGUUGUUACUUGUCCCCACUUGGACCUAAUGGGGAGAUCGGCAGAGUCGGCGGCCAAGCCCAUUGGAAACUAUGGAAGAUAGUUCUCACCCUACUUUAUUUCCAGUGAUAGGUACAGGGCUGCCGAGGGAGGACCGCGGCAAAGGCAUCGCGCCCGAUCAGUGAGACUGUGGUAGUAUAAUAGCUUUCCUUUUUGCAUUAGUUCACCUAUGUAUGUUGAGAGAGAUUCAUUGUAGGUGAGGAUUUGGAGAGCUAUGUAUUUUGAAAUGAAAAAUGUAUUCAUUUAAAGAAAAUGAUGUAAAUGAGGACUAUAGAACUACUGUAAUAGUUAGUAAAGUACUCUCUUUAUUUCACAUGCUUUAUCUUGUGGAUUGCUUGCUCUUUGUAUUGUUGGCACUGGUUGUGCCUUGGUGGAUGUGGAUGUUUAGAAUUUAAAUUUCCGGGUAAAUUCUUGUACACAUCCCUGUUGUUGAGCCUUGGGCGGACAGAGGAGGUGCUGUCCGUUCGGCUGUCCGCUCGCCGCGCCCGAAUCUUGCCAAAUUGGUAGUGAUUUCGGGGCGGUGACGUGACAGCUGUGGUAUCAGAGCAACAAGAGCGAGUAAAGUGAGAAAGUCUAGGAUGACCUAGGAGACCCUAAGUUGGUAAGCCUUAAGAUUAUAGGUGCGUGAGUGGAACGUGAACCUAUAGCGAUGGCGGAAGUUAAAUUCGAUUGGGUCGAAGUUGGUAAUAGGUCUCUAGUUGUGAUUAGAGACGGACUCAAGUGGUAUGAGUUCUUGCCUUGAGGUGGUUGUGUCGGCGGCCGAUGACAUGAUGCCAAGAGUCUAGAACGAGUGCACUUGUGUGCUUCCGCCCGAUUUUGUUGUGAGUCGUCAUGUGUCGUAAUUGUGACGAGGUAAUUGGUUAAGAUAACUGACCAAGUAUUUGCGUUUCAGGGACUAAUGUCUCCAAGACGCUACACGCGUAGAUCUGCCCCAGCACUGAUUCCUGCGGUGCCUGAGCAGGAGGAACCGAGCGUGAUGGAUCGGUUGCAAGCGUAGGUGACCGCUCUGACCAAUGUGGUGCAGCGCCAGGAGACCCGAUUUGAGCGGCUCCAGGACCUAUUAGAGCGGCAGAUUGCGGCGGCGGCUGCGACGGUGAACGAGGGCGGUGGUCCGCCUGCACCCUCGACUCAUGUACCUGGAGCGGCAGAGGGUGAGGGCAUAGCGGCGGUUCCGGUAAAGGCACGCCCACUGCCAGCGAUCGUACCACAAGCGGCAUCGGGAUCGGCUACACCCGAUGUGACGGCCGACGACGUGGAGGGAGAGCGAGCAUUGUCGGCUCUCAUCAAGUUCAACAAGUACCAUCUGCCAACCUUCGAGGGCGAGAAGGUGGAAGCGGAGAUGGUCGAGUCUUGGAUUGACUCGAUGGAGACCCUCUUCGAUGAUCUACGUACCUUGGAGAGGGACAAGGUGUAUCUCGCCACCCAUUGCUUGGAGAAGGCGGCGAAGGUUUGGUGGAAGCGCGUCAAACGGGAUCGGCUUCCUGGCCUUCCGCCAAUGUUGUGGGAGGAAUUCAAGCGGGAGAUGUUCGCCAACUAUUUUCCCGAUACGUUGAAGCGGAAGCUCAAGGAGAAGUUUCGCAAGCUAGAGCAAGGGGACCGCUCAGUGGCGGAGUAUGAACAGGAAUUCUCCCAUAUUAUCGAUUGCGUCCCGGAUGUUGUAAAGGAUGACCGGGACUGGGCCGAGUGGUUCUUGCGAGGACUUCGGCCGGGGAUCUACAAGGCCGUGCAGAUACUCAAGCUCUCGACCUUUGCGGAGGCCUUUGAUCGAGCCCUAUGGGCGGAGCACGGAGAUGCCCACGUUUAGGAGAAGCGUGAGGCUUUGGCGGAGUCCAAGGACAAGGGCAAGAAACGCCAAAGUGGCGGUAGUUCGGGGGGACAAACACGUUACAAGAAACCCUCGAAGCAUCCGCGCACUCAACAAAAGGACGGUGGAGCGCGGCGAUGCAUUGUAUGCGGCGGAGACCACCCAGUCUCGCACUGUGAGCAAGGCCGAGGCAAAUGCUACAAGUGUGGGCAACCGGGGCACUUCAUUCGGGACUGCCUUGGAGGAGGAGCCUCACCUACCCCAUCGAUUGCAUCGGCACCGGUGAUUCCGGCUCACUAUGGAGGAGCUCCACCAACAGCCGCGUCGACGGGACGCGCGAUGAUGCCGCGUCAACAUGAGGCGACGCGACCGGCCCCGAGCGGACGGGUGUUCGCCGCUCAGGUCCAGGCUGAGGAACCUGCAGAGGCGGAGAAGCAUUGCCUUGUGGCAGGUAUGGUUUUGAUUAACGGAGUUCGCUCCAGGGCUUUAUUUGAUACAAGAGCCACGCAUUCAUUCAUAAGUAGAUCAUUCGCACGCAUGCAUGACAUACUCAUAGAGGCGAGUGACAAGUGGUGAGUGGAGGGCCCUGGGUCAACGUUUAACACUUACUCAGAGUGUGCGUCGUGUCCCAUACAAAUAGGCGAUUGGAUUAUGCCUAUCCGGACACUGGAACUCCCAAAACUUGAGGCUUAUGACGUCAUUCUGGGUAUGGACUGGCUCUCGAAAUAUCACGCAACGAUCGACUGCAAGAGCAGGGUGAUCACAUUCCGUGAGCCAGGACAAGAAGAAUUCACCUAUCGGGCUUGUCAGAGAUCGUGCUUCAUCGCGACAGUGUCGGCGACAAGAGCAAGGAAGUUGGUGAGCAACGGUUGUGCGGCGUUCUUGGCGACCGUUGUGGAAGUGGAGCGAGUAGCUCCCGCAUUAGAGGAGUUAUCGGUGGUGCGGGAGUUCCCGGAUGUGUUUCCUACGGAGUUACCGGGGAUACCACCGGAUCGGGAGAUCGAGUUCGUCAUAGACUUGGUUCCCGGUACCGCACCGAUCUCGAAGGCUCCGUACCGUAUGGCGCCGGCGGAAUUGAAAGAGUUGAGGAGUCAACUGCAAGACCUCCUCGACAAGCAAUUUAUCCGGCCAAGUGUAUCACCGUGGGGAGCCCCGGUGUUAUUCGUGAGGAAGAAAGACGGAUCAUUCCGACUCUGCGUGCACUAUCGAGAAUUGAACAGAGUCACGAUCAAGAACAAGUACCCACUUCCCCGAAUCGAUGACCUAUUCGAUCAGUUGCAGGGGUCGUGUGUGUACUCGAAGAUAGACUUGCAAUCCGGCUACCAUCAAUUGAAAAUCAAGUCGGAGGAUGUACAGAAGACUGUGUUUCGUACGCGGUAUGGACAUUACGAAUUCACGGUCAUGCCCUUUGGACUCACGAACGCUCCAGCGACAUUUAUAGAUUUGAUGAACCGUGUCUUCAAGAAGUAUUUGGAUCGAUUUGUCGUGGUCUUCAUAGACGACAUAUUGGUCUAUUCUUGUAGUGACGAGGAACAUGCCGAGCAUUUGAGGAUAGUGCUUCAAGUCCUGCGGGAGGAGAAGCUAUAUGCUAAACUGAAGAAGUGUGACUUCUGGGUCCGCGAGGUCGCCUUCUUAGGGCAUGUGAUUUCCGCGGGUGGAGUUUCCGUAGACCCGAGAAAAGUUGAGGCAAUCAAGGACUGGCUGCGCCCGACGAAUGUCAUGGAGGUUCGAAGCUUCGUGGGCUUGGCGGGCUAUUAUAGGCGGUUUGUGGAAGGCUUUUUCAAGAUAGUGAUUCCACUUACCCGCCUGACUCAAAAAGGCACCAAGUUUGUUUGGAGCGAGGAGUGUGGCCGGAGUUUUAAAGAGUUGAAGUAGAGAUUGACUUCGACUCUGGUGCUCGCUCUACCUGUGCAGGCCGAAGACUUCGUGGUCUACAGCGAUGCCUCCUAUCUUGGACUGGGGUGUGUAUUGAUGCAAAACGGGAAAGUGAUCGCUUAUGCAUCCCGUCAGCUGAAGAGCUAUGAAAAGAACUACCCUAUCCAUGAUUUGGAGCUAGCGGCGGUGAUUUUUGCCUUGAAGCUGUAGAGGCACUACUUAUAUGGUGCCCAUUGUGAAAUCUAUACCGACCACAAGAGCUUGAAGUACCUGUUUACAUAGAAGGAGCUCAACAUUCGUCAGCGGCGGUGGUUGGAGCUGUUAAAGGAUUAUGAUGUUGAUAUCCUCUACCACCCCGGGAAGGCAAAUGUGGUCGCGGACGCACUUAGUAGGAAGUCGACGAAGAACCUCGCUUUUGAUGUUACCUAGCAAACACCCCUGUGGCUGGAUAUGGAGCGAUUGGACCUUGAAGUGGUCGCUCCCGAGGUCCCGACUCAGCUGAUGGCACUCGUUGUCAAACCGACCUUGUUGGAGAGGAUUAAAGAUCUGCAACCCGCAAACCCAGAACUCCAAAAGGUGCGGCAAAAUAUUAAGGAAGGUCAUGGCGGCGAUUUCAAGGUAGACGCCGAUGACACGCUUCGGUUUCGAAACCGAUGGUGUGUGCCGAAAGACGGAGAGCUUCGUGAAUUGAUUCUACAAGAAGCACACCGAUCUUCAUAUGCAGAUCACUCGGGCGGCACCAAAAUGUAUCAAGGAUUAAAAAUGCACUAUUGGUGGCCGGGAAUGAAAGGCGAUAUCGGACGCUUUGUGGUGAAGUGCUUAACAUGCCAACAAGUGAAGGCCGAGCGUCAAUUUCCAGCGGGAAAGCUUCAAAGCCUACCAAUCCCUGUUUAGAAAUGGAAUGAUAUAUCGAUGGACUUCGUGGUCGGCUUGCCUUGCUCAACGGGCGGCCACGAUGCAAUUCGGUAAUUGUGGACCGAUUGACAAAGUCGGCUCACUUAUUGCCGAUCCACACCACGUGGUCGGGUGACAAGUUAGCGCAGGUAUACCUCGAUGAAAUAGUGAGACUGCAUGGGGUGCCGAAAUCGAUCGUGUCGGAUCGUGACCUUCGGUUCACUUCACACUUCUGGAAGAGCCUGCAGGAAGCCCUUGGCACACGGCUCGACUUUAGCACCGCAUUUCAUCCUCAGACCGAUGGACAAACAGAGAGAACUAUUCAAACUCUGGAGGACAUGUUGCAAGCGUGUGUCAUCGACGAUAAGGGAAGCUGGUGUGAUCACCUACUUAUUGCCGAGUUCGCCUACAACAACAGUUAUCAUGCUAGUGUGGAGAUGGCACCGUUCGAGGCUCUCUAUGGGCGGACGUGUCGGUCUCCUAUACACUGGAGCGAUGUAGGUGAGCGUACAGAGUUCGGCUCCGAUGUUCUGCGAGAAGCGGAGGAGAAAGUCCAUCUUGCUCGCAAGAGAUUGCUCACGGCGCAGUCGAGACAGUAAAGCUAUGCAGAUAGGCGCCGUCGAGAUAUAGAAUUCGCGGUAGGUGACCGCGUGUUCUUGAAGGUUUCACCGAUGCGGGGUAUGAGGCGGUUUGGAGUACGAGGGAAACUAAGUCCCCGAUACGUUGGACCAUAUGAGAUAUUGGAGCGAGUCGGCACGAUAGCCUACCGACUUGCUUUGCCGCCGAAGCUUGCGGAUGUACAUAAUGUGUUCUAUGUCUCCAAUCUCCGCAAGUACAUUCACGACCCCGAGCAUGCGAUGCUAUAUAAACCGCCGAAACUUCAAGGAGACUUGAGCUAUGAAGAGUUUUCGGUAGGGAUUAUCGCCCGAGAGGUGCGAAAGUUGAGGAAUUGAAAAAUUCCCUAUGUGAAGGUUAGGUGGAGCAAUCACGAGGAUCGCAAAGCCACCUGGGAACUCGAGGAUCUGAUGAGAAAACACCAUCCUUAUCUAUUUGAGGAGUAAGGUAUGGAUUUAAGUUGAGGUAAAGAAUUGAGUUUGUUUCAAGGACGAAACUCCUCUUAGGGAGGGGAGGAUGUAAGAAAGUGAAUUCUCAAAAUCCAGGGAUUGUAUUACAUCCAGGAUCGACUAACUGUCGAGAGAAUGCCCUUUGGGGAAGUUAGAGAAUAUCCAAAACACAAAAAGUGCUUUGGAGUUGAGUCCACGAGAGCAAAUGAUGCAAACUGCAUUAUUGGGCUGAUGUUACUCUCGGGGACCGGUCUCUGGAGGUGAGAGACCGGUUCCCUUGGCUGGGUGUAGCGGGGUUGCUAGAUGCAACCGGUCCCUAGCAGGGAGGGACCGGUUCCCGAACGUGGUCCCAGCAGAAAAGCCGAAAUUUGGCUAAGUCCUGAAAAUUGAGCUCUCGAGGACUGGUCCCUCAGGCGAGGACCGGUCUCCCGAGGACCGGUCUCCCGGGGAGAGACCGGUCCCUCCGCACGAAAAUUGCCCAGUAAGGGUUGUGCAAUGGAUGGAAAAGUAAGGGGUUUAAGUGCAAAAUAGCUCUCAUUAGAGGGUGUUGAGCCCUCUCUCUCUCCCUCACAGCCUCAUUUCCCUCUCUAUCUCUCUUUCUCUCUUGCUCCCUCUCUCUCUCUCUAGAAAGGAAAGGAGAAGAAGAAGAACAAGAAGGAGAGGAAGGAAAAGAAGGAUAAGGAAAGGAAGGAGAAGAAGAAAGAGAUCAAAAAAAAGGCUUUGGGCAACCUCAUCUCCCUCUCCUCUUCUCAUUGGUGUAGCACAAGAGGUAGGCUUUUGAACCCUAGCUUCUAGAACUUAGGGUUUUGGGUUUUUGGUGCUUUGGAAUGGGUCAAAUGGACCCUAAACAAGCUUCUAAAUAGAUCAAUCCUAAGAAAUCUAGGGAUUUAUUGGUGGUUUGCUAUAGGUGCAAACCUAGGGCUCCAAAAUGGGGUUUUUGUGAAAGUAUGAGAUCGAUCUCAUUUGAAACCUUGGAAACCCUAUUGAUAGGUCACAAAACGCGGGGGUGAAGUCGAUUUUGGCAUUCGGCAAGCCGGCGUGAAGUUUUCGGCAAAAUAGGGCCGGACUAGCACCGACUUGGACAAGGAAGGCUAAAGCCUUUUCGUACAGUUCGUCGAGGAGCGUUUCUAAAGCCUCUCCAUUGAUUAAAGGUGGGGGGUGCCAUCCCGAAGCUUUCGGACUCCUUUCUAUGUCUUAGAUUGCAUUGAUCUUAUCUCUUCAUGUUGCAUUGUUGGAUUGCAUAGUAGCUCUAUUCCUUAUGCUUUCUAAUUGAUAACCUAGUGUACUUGGAACGCUUGGUAACUUAGAUAGGUGAGGAUUGGGUCGGAACGUGGAUCCUAUGAUGCGAAAGAAAAGAGAUGUACCCGAUGGGGGUGUUGAUGACAUAGAAAGUAUUGUUAAUGUUAAAGAACAAACGAGUGGCAUCCAAACAUUGAAUGAUGACGAGUGGCAUUAAUGUAGUGUAAAUAACACUAGAGGUUUGAGAACCUAGGGAUAGGUGGAUCCCUUAGAAAAUGCCUUGUGAACAAUGAAUUUAGACAAGCUAAAUAGCAUUGCACGAAUGUCGGGAACAAAUGAUCCCGCGAGAGAUGUUGACUCUAGUUAGAGCCUCCUCACUUGAAGAGGAUUUGAUUGGGUUGCGGACCCUAGUUAUAGUGCUUCCUCACUUGGAGAGGAUUGGAUUGGGUUGUUGACCCUAGUGAUAGUGUAUCCUCACUUGGAGAGGAUAGAUCUAGCUCACAGUCUGCGUUUGGGAUGGUAUAGCCAUCCAAUCCCCACAUGGAGGGGAUUGUCGUCGAGUACUCCGGAGUGUCGCGCGACUAGGACCACUUGGAGGUCCGGACCACAUGGAGGUCCGCAGACGGUCCCGGGCUUGGGUGCACUUGGAGCUCCCUCCCCACUUUGGGAUUGUAAGGUGAGUUAUAGGCGAGCCCUAGGGCCUCGCCACAGAUUGGGUAAAGGGAAAGGUUAAAGGUUGAUAAUGUCAUUGAACAUUGCUAUUCGAAUAUGGAUCGAGUUUGUUAGCAUGGUAGCAAACCUUUAUUAUAUGAUGCAUGCAUUCAUAUUCAUGAUUAUGGGCAUAGUAGCAUAGUUUCCUACUAUUGUAUUUACAGUUUUCAGAUACAUAUCUAUCUAUCUGUUGUUACUUGUCCCUACUUGGACCUAAUAAGGAGAUCAGCAGAGUCGGCGGCCGAGCCCAUUAGAAACUAUGGAAGAUAGUUCUCACCCCACUCUAUUUCCAGUGGUAGGUACAGGGCUGCCGAGGGAGGACUGCGGCAAGGGCAUCGCGCCCGAUCAGUGAGACCGUGGUAGUAUAGUAGCUUUCCUUUUUGCAUUAGUUCACCUAUGUAUGUUGAGAGAGAUUCAUUGUAGGUGAGGAUUUGGAGAGCUAUGUAUUUUGAAAUGGAAAAUGUAUUCAUUUAAAGAAAAUGAUGUAAAUGAGGACUAUGGAACUACUAUAAUAGUUAGUAAAGUACUCUCUUUAUUUCACAUGCUUUAUCUUGUGGAUUGCUUGCUUUUUAUAUUGUUGGCACUGGUUGUGCCCUGGUGGAUGUGUAUGUUUAAAAUUUAAAUUCCUAGGUAAAUUCUUGUACACAUCCCUGUUGUUGAGCCUUGGGCGGACAGAGGAGGUGCUCUCCGUUCGACGGUCCGCUCGUCGCGCCCGAAUCGUGCCAAAUUGGUAGUGGUUUCGGGGCGGUGACGUGACAGAUACGCUUACGGGAACCGGUCCCUCUGGCCAGGGACCGGUUGCAUCAGCUGUCUGCCGCAACCUCAGCUAUGGGGACCGGUCCUUCCCACUAGGGACCGGUCCCCGAGAGCAACUCUACGCAGACCCCUUCUCUGCCAGACCUCCUGCUUACGGGAACCGGUGCCUCCCGCCAGAGACCGGUCCCCGAGAGCAGAAUCUACCAAGUACAGAUCAUGCACUAUUCGCUCUCGUGGACUCGAUUUCCAAAGCACUUUUUGUAUUUUGGACAUAUUUAGCUCCUCCGAAGUCUACCCACUCGACAAUUAGUUGAUCCUGGACGAAGUCCAACUCUCGGAUUUCGAAAAUUCACUUCCUUACAGGGGAUGUUGACUACCACGGGGCCAUUAGGCACGGCACCGGCCAGAUAGCCUACGGGUGGGUUUUCAGGCCAGACAGCCUACAGGCGGGUCUUACAAAAUUAGAACUUCAAGUAGUUAACAUGCCAUAUGGACAUUGGCUAGAAUUGUAACCACCGAGAUCUCGGUGAAAUAUUGUGGACUUUAGCCUAAUUGACUAAAGUACUCGAAGGGAUUGGUUGGACGCGAUCCAUUAACGUUCCAACACUGUUAGUAGGGUUAAAAAAUAAGCUCUAAAUGAGUUGGAAGGGUUUUGGCAUCGAACGACGCGAAAUAGAGCGGAAUCGAAGUCAAAAAUGACUUUCUGGGUGUCUUGUACCGGUACAAGACCAAUGGUUGUACCGGUACAACCAGCGUAGUACAGUGGCUUGGAGCUGCCAGGCCUUGUACCGGUACAAGGGGUCUUGUACCGGUACAAGCACUGCGCAACCGAGAGAGCCAGCUCUCGGGUUGGGCUGUCUGCCAGGCCUUGUACCGGUGUCCCGGGGUCUUGUACCGGUACAAGCACUGCGCAACCGAGAGAGCCAGCUCUCGGGUUGGGCUGUCUGCCAGGCCUUGUACCGGUACAAGAAACCGUGUACCGGUACAAGGAGCCCAAACAGCACAGAAUUGACCUGUUGCAAAUAGGAAUGUUUGGGGGGUUUAUUUGUAAUUGUUGCAAUAUAACAAAUACCCCAAACACCCUCUCUCUCCCUUUCGUGUCUCCCUCUCCCUCUCUCAACCGUUCAUAGCAAAGAGAAAGGAAAAGAGAAGAAGAGAAGAAAGGAAAGAAGAAAAGAGAGAAAAAGAGAAAGAGAAGAAGAAGUUGGAGAAGAUGGAGAAGAAGAUCUAGAAGGAGAUCUGCAUCCUCUCCUUCAUCUUCCUUGAGCCAUUGGAGCUCUUUUAGAGGUAAGCUCUAACCCUAAAAUGGCAUUUCUAGGGUUUAGGGUUUUUGGUUGCUUUUGAGUGGUUCAAAUGGAACCCAUUUGAGUUGGAGAAGAUGGUUCUAGCUCAUAUUGAAGCUUUGAACCAUGGAUUGCACCAUUGAUGCAAACCUAGGGUUAGAGUUUGGGUUUUGAACCCUAGAUCUUUGAUUUUGAUCUCCCUACAAGUUUUAGAACCUUGUAGAAACCAAGAACACAUGAAAUCCAUGUUGUUCUUCGUAGUGCUCUAAUAGUGGAACCCUAGGGUUUGUUUUAAAUGCCCUAGGGAUGAUUCUAAUGAGAUGGAAGCAAGUUUAGAGAACUUCUUGGGUGAUUCUAAACUCGAUUAUGCUUAGCUAUGAGAUCAAUCCCAAGAAAUUUGAUUAUGGUAUUGUUAGGGCACCGAAAUUGGGGCUUUUGCCUCCGGGUGUUUCUAAGGCAAAUUGGCCUUGUAGAAACCUAAUUGGGGACCUAACGAACGUAUUGGUGCGCUCGGUUCGGCAAUCUGACGAGCGUACGUGAAGUUAUUGACGAAACGGUCGGUUUUGGUACAGAUAGCCGCAGCACGCGAAAUAAAGGUCUAAAAAUCAUGAGAUUGGAACCGGAGCACCUUGGAGUCAAGGAAUAAACUCCGGAGAAGACGGAUCGCAGUUCGGAGGCCGUUUGGAAGUCGCGCAAGAGUUCGGACCAAACCGGACAACGGUUGCCGCGGGAGGCCGAUUGCAAGUGACUACAAGCAAUCGGAACGCGUGCUAAGGUGGGUUGGUUUACCGAAGCGACUAGGUCGCCUUUAUGUCUAAUUAUUAGACUUUCAUGUUGAUGCAUGUUGAUGAUCGGCAUAGUUGAUGCUAAGUAGAAAUGCAUAAUAUGAUGUAGAUGCUAAAGUUGAUGCAUAUAAAAGGUUAUAUGUACGCGUGUAAACUAGAUGGAUGCAUGUAAGCAUAAUGCAUAGAAUGAAAUGCAUAUUGAUGACAUAAGUUAAAAUGAGAUAUAGAAUGCAUGAUGAGCAAGUAAUAUAAUGCUACAUAAUUACAGGAAUGCAUGUGAGCAUAAUGGAUAGAAUGCAUGUUGACAUUGUGAGAUAUAUGUGCAUGAAAACUAGGUUGAUAACCCUAGAAUGAUUAAAGUAAAUGAUGCUAUGCUAAAGUAUAAAUGAUGAGCAUGAUAUGAAAAUAGUACAUACAAGUACAUGGUAAGAAUGCUAAGAAAAGGACAAGUAUAGGUGGACAUGAAUAAACCUAUAGAUCGAGUGGCAUUUAACCUAGAGUUUUGAACGUAGGUUAAAUAAGAAUGAUGCUAAACCUAAUGUAAAGAACAUAGGUGGUGAAAUGAAAAUUGCUUAACCUAGAGUCAAGUGAACCUAGGUUGGAAAGAAUAAUGAUCCUAGUGUAAUGAACCUAGGUUAAGAAUGUGGAAGCAUUAAACCUAAAGUAAUAGCUUAGGUUGUGUAAAGGAUGUUGAACCUAGAGUCAAUUGGACCUAGGAGAUAAAGGCUUAGACCUAGAGAGGUCAGUUCCAUAGGGUUAAGACCAACCCUUGGUUGAUGUGAUAUGGAUUCCGGAAUCCCGCUGCUUGCUGCUACACCCAAAGUGGUGUCGGGUGUGUGCGACGAUUUCGCCGCCCAGGGGCUAGAGAACCAUUGUCGUGGCGUGUGUGCGACGAUUUCGCCGCCGGAUGGUUAGCCAGUUUGUGGAUCCUACCGCCUGUUGACUGAACCACUGUCGUGGCGUGUGUGCGACGAUUUCGCCGCCGGGUGACUAAGUCAUUGAACCUAGGCCGUUGUUGGGUGAGGUGCGAUUCGUUCGCCGCCAGACGGCUAGGACAGGAGUACGGUGAGCUGUUGCCAGCUGAGGUGCAUGUGAGAGUUCCUUCACCUCGAGCUAGACAGUGCGCGGACUAUCCGCGAUUGAUUGACUCAAGACCGAGUCGGGUGGCUUUGUUGACUAAGGUAAAGUGACCUUAGAGUAGAAUGCCAAAGGCUAAGAUAUAGCAUGGUUCAAGAAUGUUAAGAGUAAGGGACAGCUAAACGAUAAUGAAUAGCUAAAGAGCAAAGAAUAGCUAAAUGACUAAGAAUAGCUAAAGAAAAGUUGCAAGAAAGGAAUAGCGAAGAGCUAAAAGUAAGCAUUAUAUGGCAAAGAGUAAAGAGUGAUUAAGAAUAUAAGUAGUGUUAAAGUAACCUACUUGCAUGAUUACAAGUAUUGCAUAUUGCAUUUCGUGAGGCAUGACAUGUAUUUCAAUUGAAUAUAUAUAUAUCUGUUGUAUAUUGUUGAUCUAACAUGUUGCAGUGCCUCGUUAGACCUGUUGGCUGAGCUUGUUCUCUUGGGUGGCUAAACCCACUGAGGACUAUGGACAAUAGUCUCACCCCCGUGUUGCUGUUUUGGGGGUACAGGUACACACGUGUGCGGCGCGGCGGUGCAAGGCGAGGACAUAGUUCUGCAGAUAGCAUCCUACCCAGAGACUGAGAUAGCAGUACCCGAGUUGGUGGUCUAGCUUGGGAGGUUUAAAGACAAGCUUUAUCCAGAUGUAUCAAAUUGUAAUAAGUAAUGAUGUGCUAAUUAUGAUUGUAUUUGGAGGUUGAUUGUAAAAGAAAAGUUAUGGUGUAAAAUAUAUCUAAGUUGAAUGCUGUAAUAACUUAGUAGUCUAUGUUUUUGAUACUUCCUUAUGCAAUCUGUGAGUGAAUACUAUUCCUGUUUGGAACCUCUCGUAUUGUAUUGAUUGCGACGCCUAGGAUGUACAGGGGAAACUCUGUCCGUUCGGCGGUCUGUCGGCGGCGCCGCGACCCGGCCAAAUUGGCGGGUGGUCGCGGGUCGUGACAAGAAUAUUAAACAUUGACAUUUUACUAUUUCGUUGUAGACAUCAUGUUGGUUGUAUAUUCCUGCCUAUUCAUUUAUAGAAUAGCUUUCUUACUUACGCAAUUUCAUGCUAAGUAGAGAUAUCAUGUUGUAAUAAGUUUACAUAUUUAUUUACAUGUCAUUCAUAUCGCUUUUACUUUUACUUACCUGUUUAGUUGGGCCUUGUGGAGUACAUAACUGAAGUCAGUAAUCGCCCACUGGAAACUAUUAUUUAAUAGUUCUCACGCCCCCUGUUUUAUGUUUUAUUUCAGAGCUUUCAGCACCGACGGAUGCACGGGAUCGCGGCAAAGGGGUCACAUAGCUAGUUAGCGCGGAGCUUGCUUUUGCUCCUAUGGUCUACUCUCUUUUUGUGUUUUUGGUGAGAGAGAGUUUUGUUACCAUGUAUAGAGACCACCAUUGUAUUAUUCUUAGUCCUUGUAUUCGGGAUUUCUUUUUGUACUGCCUUUCGGUUUACUUAUAGAUGGUUGAUAGUUCCUUUACUUGUUUCCUUUCAUAGAAUCUAGAUGUUGUUCUAUGCUCUGGUAUCUCUAGAUCUUCUUUUAUUGUUGCUUUAUUUAUCAUUUUGUGGUAGACGCCUUAUAUGUUUUAGACAUAUGGCGGGUCUGUACGAGGUUGGUACACUGCGGACCUCCGCUACACUUGUCGGGCGAGGCCAAUCUUUAAUUGUGUCGACUUUCCUCGGAUCUACCGAAACUCCGUCGCCCGACACCACAUGACCCAACAAUGUGAACUCCUUUAGCCAAAAGUCACACUUCUUUAACUUAGCAUAAAGCUUUUCUUGUCGGAGUAUUUGCAACACAGCUUUCAAGUGCUUUUCAUGCUCCUCCUCGCUCUUCGAGUAGACCAAUACGUUGUCUAUGAACACCACGACGCACCGGUCCAACAACGGCCGGAAAACUCGGUUCAUCAAGUCCAUAAAUGCUGCCGGGGCAUUAGUAAGCCCAAAUGGCAUUACCGUGAACUCGUAAUGGCCAUACCGCAUACGGUACGCUGUUUUGUGCACAUCCUUCGGUCUAAUCUUUAGUUGCUGAUACCCCGACUGGAGAUCAAUCUUCGAAUACACCUUUGACCCUUGCAACUGAUCGAAUAAAUCGUCAAUCCUAGGCAACGGGUACUUGUUCUUUAUCGUCACUUUAUUCAACUCGCGAUAAUCUACGCAGAGUCGAAGUGUGCCAUCCUUUUUCUUCACAAAUAGCACCGGAGCUCCCCACGGUGACACACUCGGCCUCACGAAGCCUUUAUCGAGCAAGUCUUGCAAUUGAGCCUUAAGCUCCACUAACUCCACCGGUGCCAUUCUAUACGGAGCCUUCGAAACUGGCGCCGCCCCGAGAAUCAAGUCAAUGACGAACUAAACUUCCCAGUCCGAUGGCAGUCCCGGUAACUCCGCCGGAAAUACAUCCGGGAAUUCACAUGCUACCCUGAUACCCUCAAGCUCGGGGUGCUCCCUUCGACCAUCAACCAUGGUCGCCAAAUAGGCCUUACACCCUCCUUUAAUCAUUCUUUUGGCCCUCACUGACGAUAUGGUCGCCGCAAAACGUGCGCCUCUGCACGCCUGAUACACUAACUCCUCUUGGUUAGGCUCACGAAAGGUGAUAACCUUGCUUUCACAAUCUAUGACCGCGUAGUAUUUGGAAAGCCAAUUGGUCCCCAAGAUAACGUCGAAUCCCCACAUCCGGUCUAGCACUAGCAGAUCUAUCGGCAUGAUCCAAUCGCCAAUCUGCACUGGAACCUCCAAGCACUCAUCAUAAACACGGAACGAUUGCUCGGGACCAUUUAUCCACCAAUAGUCCUCAUUAUGUGUCAUUUCUAUGCCAUGCGUCUUUGCAAAUGAUGCACCUACAAAUGAACGUGAUGCACCAGUAUCGAAUAGUGUUCUAGCUCUAGUGCCAUUAAUCAUAAUUAUACCUGCCACAAUGUCGUCGGUUGCUGCAGGCUGCUCCUCCACCUGAGCGGCAAAAACCCGUCCGCUAGGUGCUCUCGAUCCUUCCGACUGACGCGGUGAUGAUGCGCGUCCAGCCAACAUUGCUGGUGGUAACCCCAUAAACUGUCUCGGGUCGACGGUGCUGAUGCCGCCGUCGGCGCAGACGACGUCCAGCCCAGGCACUCCCGAAUAAGAUGUCCCGGUUGGCCACACUUGAAACAUUUGCCGUCUCGCUUUGGGCAAGUCGACACUCGGUGCUCUACGCCACAAAUGACGCAUCGAGGUGGUCUCCACUUCCUCGACUGUUGUCGGGGAUACCGAGGGAGUUUCUUAGCAUUCGGCUGGCCCCCGGCACCGCCCGCCGUUCGCUUCUUGCCUUUGUCCUUCGUCUCGGCCAUAGCCUCCCGUUCCUCUCGAACGUGGGCGCUACCGUGCUCCGCCCAUAGGGCUCUAUCGAAGACCUCCACAAAGGUCGUCAACUUAAGAAUUUGCACCUUCUCAUAGAUUCUCGGCUGCAGUCCUCGUAAGAACCAGUUAGCCUGAUCCCGAUCAUCUCGAACAACAUCGGGAACGCAAUCGAUAAUGUGAGAGAACUCUUGCUCAUAUUCCCCCACCGAUCGAUCACCCUGUCUCAACUUACGGAACUUCUCUUGUAGUCUCUGCUUUAUCGUGUCGGGGAAGUAGUUCGCGAAUACCGCUCCUCUUGAACUCCUCCCACAGCAUAAGCGGAAGAUUGGUAGGUCGAUCCCGCUUGACUCGUUUCCACUACACCUUCGCCGCCUUCUCGAGACAAUGGGUGGCGAGGUACACUUUAUCCUUCUCCGAGGUAUUCAGUCCUCGAAGAGUGUUUCCAUUGAGUCAAUCCACGACUCCACUACCACUGGCUCCACCACUCCACCCUCAAAGAUAGGUGGGUCGAACUUCUAAAACUGAAUCAGAGCUGCCAGCGCGCGCUCUCGCUCCGCCUCUACUGCCGUACUAUCGGGAUUUGAGGUUCUCGAUCCGGCCAGUACUACCGUGACGGGCACAGCCGCUGCUAUCGCCGCUCCCUCGUCUACGCUCGGCACCACCGCAGGGGGUGCGACAUGCUCGACACCCGCCUAGGUCGUCGCUGCUUGCUGACGCUCCAAGGCUUCCUGGAGCCGCUGAAUCUGCUCCCCUUGGCGUUGAACAGACUCCGCUUGUUGCCACACUACGCCGAUAACCGCGGCCAUCUGCUCCCUAAGCUCUCCGUCGCCACUCGCUCCGGAUCUCUCGGGCGCCGCAUUCGACUCCUCAGGCAUCGACCUUGUCUGCGGUCGAACACGAGGUGCCAUUGCUUCCUGAAAAGAAGCAACUCGCGUUAGCUACAUGACCAACAUUACUCAUCCACACCUAAUUCGGCGAAAGCAACUUACGCGUUCAUUCUCACCCCAAGCAUUAUGUCGUCGGCCGCCCGACACAACACGAGGAAUAGAGAACGAAUGUUAAUUUAAACUUAGCCUCUAAUCACAUUAGAGACAUCCCAACUCGACCAAAUCACAUGCUUUCGCUAACUUUGAUUCCACGUCACUCACGUUUCCUAGAUCCUUAAAGUCUUCCAAUCCUAAGGGCCUCUAGGUCUAUUCCUAUUCUUUCACUUUGGCUCUGAUACCACUAUAUCUGUCACGCCCCUGGACCGAUACCAAUUUGGGCCGGCCCGGGCACGUCAAAUAGAUGCCGAACGGACAGAGUUUUUUCUGUCCGCCCAAGGCUCAUUACCUGUACAUUUUCAAGUAGAGAAAAGCACUAGUGGAAACAUACACAAAUGGCUUACACGAGGGUAAGCAAUAGUCAUGAGUGAAAGUAAGGAAGCUAACUACUACAUAGGUACUAUGAUUCAAUUUGAUCAUAUACAGUUCAUUCAACUUAUACAUUCUUUGCAUCAUCUCUUUUUACAUCACAUUUGCUCAAAAUGAAACAUUACAUUCUUUUCUCUCAUUUGCUUUAUACAUAAACAUCUUCAAAUACAAAAGAAGAUACAUGGUAGACUACUAACAAAAUGUGAACCUGACUCGGGUAGCCACUGUCUAUGGCGCGAUACCUUUACUGCGGUCGCUCGCCGGCUCACUCGGUCCCGGCUCUGUGGAAAUAGUGGGGUGAGAACUACAACGAAGUUUCCAGUGGGUUCGGUCCCAAUCUCACCGACUUUCCCACUAGGUCUAACUCAGGCAUAAUAGAAAGGAUAAGCUGAAAGAUAGUAACCAAACUAUACACAUGAUACUAAUAUGCCUGAAUAAUAUAGCAAUAAGGAUGCUCAAUAUAAAACUCAUGCAAUAUGCAAGUUCUUUCUUCUUUAUUCUUUGAUCUUUGUUUUUUCGUUCAAUCUCACGGCUAGCCCGGGGGUAUCGCCUCAUUAACUCACCAACUCAAAAUCCAUGAUCGCGGGCCCUCAGCUUCCUCCCGCUAGGACCGUCCUCUGAGUAACUCAACCCUGUGAUGACAAACUCCGGAGUGCAUCACCCAAGGGGGAGCUACCGCCCUUGAGCAAGGACUUAUAGCGAGUAUGAUCAAAUCCUUAACUCAAACGAUGUCAAGUUCAAUCCAUUCCUUAACUCUAAGGAAUUAUACACAAAUAACCCUUAGCUCUAAGGUUGUAUGUCAUCGUGUCUCAAUCUCAUGUUCUAUGCAUUCUUUACUUGACCAUGUCACUACACUAACUCUAGUGUUCUUUAUGCCAUAUUUUGUUGCUAACUCUAGCAAUUAUCAUUCUUUAAUGCCACACAUUUAUUCUCUUGAUGCCACACACAUUAGCUCUAGUGUUCUUUACGUCAUACGUCAUGCUAACUUUAGCUUUCAUUCUCAACAUUUCAUUGUCCUCAUAUCAUAUGUCACUUGUUCUUUAACUUCACUAAGUUCUUAUCUCUUUUUACAUGCACAUAGAGGGUUAUAACAUUCUCACUGGUUCUCAACCAUCUCAUGAUGCACUUGAACUCACAAAAUGCAAACAUUCACAUAUUCCUAAUCUCAUUACCCUACUAUGCAUGCAACAAUUAUAUAUGUAUGCUCAAGAAGUGACACAUUAGACAUAAAGGGAAUUCCAACAAGUUUGGAUAGCACCACCCACCUUGUAGGCUUACUUAGGUGCUACGGUGAAUUUCUCGGAAUUUUUAGCCGCCUAGUUCGCUACCUGCGGCAAAACGAAGCCAUCUUAGGCCAUUUUGCCCGUAUCUUUCUAUAGACUUUUCGUAACGUUAUACCGAGCGCACCAACGCGUUCGUUUGGUCUCCAAUUAGAUUUCUAGAGGAUCAAUUUCACUUUGAAACCCUCACAAGCGAAAGCCCCAAUUUGGGUGCCCUAGCUCGAACACAUAUACAAAACCUAGGAUUUGAUCUCAUUAGGAAGCAAAAAAGAGCUUAAUCUACUCGAGAGAUCCCAUUAAAACCAUUCUUAGCUCUAUCAAAAUCCUAGUUUGGGUUCCACCAUAAGAGAGGUUGAAGCUCACCUCUAAGCUUCACCACAUAUACCCAAUCCAUGGUUUUGAUCUCUUAAGGAAGCAAAAGAAAGCUUCAAAUACUCAAAAGGUUAUACUAAAAUCAUUUUUAGGUCAUUUGGUUCUCAUUCUAGUGUUUUACCAUGAAAGGGAUCAAAGCUUACCUCAAAGCUUUCCCUUCUAUGCUCCAAAGAGGAAGAAGAAGGAGUUGCUCCACUCUUGGUCUUCUUCUCCACCUUUGUCUUCUUCUUUCUCCUUCUUUUUCUUUCUCUCUUCUUUUCCUUGUUGUCUUCUAGAGAGAGAGAGAGAUGAGAGGGUGUGAGGGCGAGAGAAAAUGAGAGGAAAUACUUCAUAACCCCUCAUACAUAACCCAUGGGUUGCAUAAUUGCAAAUAAGCCCCUCAACUUUCAUCUCGAUGUACAGCCCAAACUGGGCCAUUUUCGCAUACGGGGACCGGUCUCUCUAUAGCAAGGGACCGGUCCCUGAGAGCACUCCCCAUAGCCUCGCAAAAGGGGUCCGGUCUCACCCUGAGGGACCGAUCUCCCAGGGACUGGUCUCUCACCGCAGGGACCGGUUCCCGAGAGCUGCUCUCGUGGGACUUAGCCGAUUUUUCCACUUCUCAGAUUUCACGCGUACGGGGAUCGGUCUCUCCCACCAGGGACCGGUCCCCGAGAGCUCAAAAACUGUAGUUGCAUAUUUUGAUUCUCCAGCUCUCGAAGAUCCCCAACAAUGCACUUUUACUCAUUUUAACGCCUUCGAACUUUUCGAAAUGUACUAACCUCGUACUUUGGUCAACUUGACUAAAGUUCGAUACUUAUUUUUCAAAUUUUUGGUAUAUUACAUCUAUGUAGUAGAGAGCUUGCAUGUGAGACUUAUUGUAAUAUACCGAAAAUUCGGAAAAUAAAUAUCGAACUUUAGUCAAAUUGACCAAAGUGCGAGGACGGUACACUUCGGAAAGUCCGAAGGUGCUAAAAUGAUCGAAAGUGAGUUGUGGAAGGUUUUCGAGAGCUAAAGAAUCAAUUCUGCAAAACUGCAGAUUUUCAGCUCUCGGGGACCGGUCCCUAAAGGGAGAGACCGGUCCCCGAACACGUAUGAAAUGAGACAGCCGAAAAAUCGGCUAAGUCCUGGAAGGAUAGCUCUCGGGAACCGGUCUCUGCCUGAGAGACCGGUCCCCCAGAGACCGGUCCCAUAAGGAGAGACCGGUUGCACUGCGCGCAGCAGCUCUGGCUGCGCAGGGUGGACGUUCGGGAACCGGUCCCUGCUCGGGGAGACCGGUCUCUGCCUGCGCGGAAUGCCCAGUUCGGGCAGUGUAUUAAAGUGAAAGUUGAGGGGUUUAUUUGCAUUUUGGCAACCCAUUGAGCUAUGUUAGGGGGGCUGAGGGGUUUUUCUCUCAUUUCUCACCCUCUCACACUCUCUUCUCUCCCUCUCUCUCUCUAGAAGACAAAGGAGAAGAAGAAGAAAGGAAGAAAAGAAGGAAAAGAAGGAGAAGAAAGUGAAGAAGAAGAUCAAGGAGCAAAGGAGCCUCAUCUUCUUCCUCUCUAGGGCAAGAAAGGAAAGCUUACAAGGUAAGCUUUGAUCUAUAUUGUAGAAAAACCCUAGAAUGAGUUUUGAAUAACCUAGAAAUGAGUUUUAAAGGGAUAUUUGAAGAGUUUUGAAGCUUUCUUUUGCUUCUUUAGAGAUCAAGUCCAUGGUUGAGCUCAAGGUGAGCUUCAACCCACCUCUAAUGGUGAAAUCCAAACUAGGGUUUGGAGUGAGUUAAGAAUGGUUCUUAUGGACUAAUUAGAGUGUAAUGAAGCUACUUUUGCUUCUCUUUGAGAUCAAACCCUAGGUUUGAUACAUGUGUUGGAGCUAGGGCACCAAAUUGGGGCUUUUGCUCAUGAGGAUUGCUAAGUGCAAUUGACCCUCUAAAAACCUAAUUGGGGGUAUUUCCGACGCGUUGGUGCGCUCGGAAUAGCAUUUCGAAAAGUGUAUGAAAGGUUAUGGGCAAAAUGGCCUAAUAAGGGUUCGUUUUGCCGCAGGUAAAGAACGAAGCAUCUAAAAAUCCCAAGAAAAAUCAUCGGAGCACCUUUGGAAGCCUACGAGGUGGGUGGUGCUUCUCAAACUCAUUGAAAUUCUCUCUAUGCCUAAUGUGUCAUUCUUUGAGCAUAUGUUAUAUGCAUUGUUGCAUGCAUUUUAGGGUAAAGUAAUGAAAGGAAUGUAAUGAUGCAUGAUUGUGAGUACAACUUGCAUAAUGUGAUGGUUAAGAACCUUAUGAAAGUUAAAACCCUAUAUGUAUGCAUGAGAGAAAAGUGAGCACCCAAAGUGAGCAAAAGAACAGAGUGGCACAAUGACAUAGAUCGAGUGGCAUUCGAUAAAGCUAAUGUGAAAUGACACUAGAGUUAGUGUGAUGUAAAGAAUUAAAGUGAUGUAAAGAAUGAUGAAAAUGACGACGAGUAAAGCUAAAGUAAAGUGGGCAAUAAGAACAAGAAUGCUAGAGUUAGCAAAAGUAAAAGAAAUGCAAAGAACAAUGAUUGCUAGAGUUAGCAAGAGUAAUGAGAAUGUAAAGAAUGUGAUUGCAUGAGUUUGCAACAUAAAGUGAUGUAAAGAACACUAGAGCUAGUGUAAAGUCAAGAUUGAACUUAUAAUCCUUUGAGUUAAGGAUAUGAUCAUACUUGCUAUUGAGUUCCGUGCUCGAGGGCGGUCGCUCCCCCUCGGGCGAUGCGCUCCGGAGUUAUGCAUCCGGGUUGGAGUAGACCCGUAAGGACGGUCCUAGCUGGUGAGUUCCUGCGAUGAUGGACUUAACGUGAAGCAAGUUAAUGUGGCGAAACCCCCGGGUUAGCCUUAAUGAUUAAAGAGCAAAGAACAAAGAAUAAAGAACAAAGAGUAAAGUGAAAAGAACUAAAGAACAUGCAUAAUCUGCAUCUAUUAAUGUUGAGCAUAUUCCUUGCUUUUGUUCAGGCAUAUUAGCAUCAUGUUAUAGAUUGGUUACCAUAUUUCAGCUUAUCCUUUCUAUUAUGCCUGAGUUAGUCCUAGUGGGAAAGUCGGUGAUAUUGAGGCCGAACCCACUGGGAACUUUGUUGUAGUUCUCACCCCACUAUUUCCACAGAGCCGGGACCGAGCGAGCCGGCGAGCGACCGAGGUAAAGGUAUCGCGCCUUAGUCAGAGGCCACCAGAGUUGGGUUUACAUUUUGUUAGUAGACACCCUUUUAUCAUCUUUUGUAUUUGAUGAUUUGUGAUGUAAAGAAAGAAUGUAAAGCUUAUUUUGAGGUAAAUGUGUUGUAAGAAAGAAAUGAUGAGAUUAUGUAAGAACAGCAAAGAAUCUUAAAUGUAAAAGAUGGAUGUAAUGUAUAUGAUCUAAAAUGAAUCAUAUUACUUGUGAAUGUUUAGUUUUCCUUUCUUUCACUUAUGGCUAUUGCUUACCCUCGUGUAAGCUGUUUGUGUAUGUUUCCGCUAGUGCUUUUCUCUAAUGAUGAAAAUGUACGUGUGAUGAGCCUUGGGCGGAUAGGGGAAACUCUGUCCGUUCGGCGUCUAUUUGUCGUGCUCGGGUCGGGCCAAAUUGGCAUCGGUCCCGGGGCGUGACACUUAUGCAUGUGUUUAGCAUUCUAAUUGGGACUUAGAAUCAUGCUUCAUAUAGUAGACAUGAUAAAUGUAUUAUGCCUUGGACAUAAACCUUGUUUGGAAUUAUGAGAAUACAUUAAGUCAUAAAGAGGCUUGAGACUUGAAAAUCAUGUAAAUUAGUGAGCUAAUGUCAUAAACCGACAUUGAGUUUGGGUUAUAUGUGAACCUUGUAAUAAUGCCAUAAAGAGGCAUGGGAAUUGGAACAUACUUAGAUAUAGCAAUGUUAUGGUGUUAUAAAGAGGCACUAGACUUAGUGAAAGUUGGAACUUCACCUUGUGACAUAGAACUAGACCGUUGGGUUGCUAGUGGAUAUUACCAUGUUAGAGAUAUGAUGAUUGAGUACUUGAGACGAUGACUAUGCUUGCUUGCCAUUUGUGCUUAUUUGCACAUGCUUGUGAGGGUCGCUCCCUACAAGCCGGCACUCCGGAGUUGGCCUAUGCGACUUAUGUUCGCUCGUGCGGUAUCGAGGAACCUACGGGGUCGAGAGGGAUAGACUCAUUCCUAGAGUGGGAAUGUUGGAGCUACCACCGGCACUUAGGUGGCACAAGCUGGACUACACUUCUGUAGGUCCUAAAACAAGAUUGAACAAUGACAACAAUCCAUAAAUGAUAAUCACUACUAGAUAGGGUGUAGUAGUUGGAUUACCUUGACAUGCUUAGUGCAUACUUGUGGACAUUUGAGAUAUGUAGUAUACUUAGUAAUAUCACUCAUUGCAUUAUAGUAUACUUGCUUGCCGUGUGGGAUCAUACUAGAUAUGUAUUGGACAUACUUGAUCAUGAUAGAAUGAAUGUACAACAUAUUGACAUCAUAUUGUUUAUGGCAUAGUAGUUUAGCAUUUAUACAUGCUUUCAUACCUGCAGUUAUUUCUGUUGCUUUUCGUUCCUACCUUACUCUUUUGGGCCUAGUGGUGCAUUGUGCUGAGGUCAGAAUUGCCCACUGGGAACUAUAAAUUAUAGUUCUCACGCCCCCUGUUUCUUGUUUUCUUUCAGAGCCUUCCACGCCGGGCGAGGCUAGGUACCGCGGAAAGGGCAUCGCCUCGAGCUAGCACUUUUGCGGGGGACGUAUCGAUAGGUGGUCUACCUCUCAUUGAUUUUAUUUUGGAGAGGUUGAGAGUUAUACCAUGUAUAGAGACCACCCAUUUUGUAUUUUGAGACUGAUGAUGUAUUUACUUUAUGUUUUAUAUUAGUGGAUUAGCUUCUUUUCUCUCCACUUGUUGUUAGUAUUUUAGCUGCUGGUUGCUCUGAUAUCUCUAGUUGUCUUACUUCUUCUUACCUUCAUAUCUCUAUUCUUGUAGACGCCUUAUAUGUGCAGGUAUAUGACGGGCACUGGGAGGGCCUAUGCCGGGUCCCGGGGCGUGACACCUAGCACCCUAAAGGUAAGGGAAGGAGGGUUACACGAAUGUUACGAACAACCCAUUGCUCAAACAUUAAGCAAUCCAAUCAAAGGUGAAGAAAACUCACCGAAAGCGAAGAAACCUCCCUCGAUCUCCAAAAGGGAGUUAGAGGCCCACUAAUCCAACCUAAACAAAGGUUCUAAUAAGAUCAAUUGGGCUUCAAAAGCCUCUAAUCAAAAAUCCCCAUUUACAACCCUAAAUCUCCAUUUCUAGGGUUACAACUAAAAAAUCAUGAAAAUCAUAAUCAAAAGAGAAGGAGUAAGCAACUAACCUCUCUAAAAGCUCCAAACAAGGCUCAAGAUCUACCGAAGUUGAGGUCCUUCCCUAAAGCAAGCUCCAAUCCCUUCUCCAAUGCUUCUCCAAUGGUGAAAAGAUCACCCAAAAGCCAAAAGAAGCAAAAUAGGAGAUCAAUCCUCUAAAAAUCAAAGAAAAAGAGAAGAAAAAUCAAAGAUGGAGAGUGGAAGAGCUCUCUCACCUUAUUCCCCGCUAGUCUAAGCUCAGGGAACAAGAGAGAAGGCGUAGGGUACAAAUAGAUAGGCCACAAUUGCAAAAACACCCUUCCAGUCUGAGCAGACUGCAGUCUGCAAUGUGUACCGGUACAUGGGAAAGUGUACUGGUACAAACCUGCAGUACGCGCAAACCCAAAGCUCGGGUUGGCAGAAAAACCCAUUUGUACCGGUACAACCAUCGAGUUGUCACCGGUACACUUUCUGUACCGGUACAACCAUCAAGGUGUACCGGUACACAGCCCAGCAAACUGCAACCCGAGAGCAGCCUAAGUCCAUCGCUUUGGUGACCUUAGCGCUACUUUAAAUACUAUAAUUCUUGGGAUAUGAGCCAUAGGUCGAAACACCGUCAAUGACCCUCCAUAAUAUUUGGAAAAACUCGGAAUACUAAUCAAACACUCGAACCUCGCAAUUUGCAAAGAUCCAGUGUGUUACAGAAUCAUUCACUGCUUUCGCAGGAAAAUUACAAAGACGGUGAAUGUCACGCCCCGGGACCCAGCGGAAGCCUACCCGGCACGUGCCCAGACCCGCCAUACGUCUAAAACAUAUAAGGCGUCUAAAAUAAAACGAUAAAUAAAACAAGAUAAAGAGAACAUUUAGUAGUAUCAGAGCAAGUAUAUCUAGAUGCUACAAUAACCGAAAUGAACAUAGAGCUAAAUCCACUAGGUAGAAAUAGGAAGUAGUACAAUAAACAUUCAAAGUACAAAUGCUAAACCAGAUACAUAGGUGGUCUCUCUAUACAAGGUACUAACAUAACUCUCUCUCUCUCAACUCAACAAAAGGAGAGUGAACUACCAAAAUGCAAAAGAAACGCCCCUUGCUAGCUAGCUAAGCGAUCCCCUUGCCGCGGUCCCGUGCCUCCACCGGUGUAGAGGGCUUUGAAAUAAAACCAUAGAAACGGGGGCGUGAGAACUAUUAAAAAUAGUUUCCAGUGGGCAAUUACUGACUUCAGUGAAAUGCGCCACUAGGCCCAAAACUGAACAAAAGAGGGUAAGUACGAGUAUAAUCAAAAGGAAUAGCAACAACUAAACAUAAGUACUUACUAUACCAUAAUGUCUCAACUCAGCAUGAAUUUUCGUAAUUAAUAAAGCUACUAUAACAUGAAUGUACAUAAAUGUGACUAGCAUGUAUAAGCAUGAAUAUGCAACCAACGGAAUGUCCACAAUGUAGAUAGUAAAAUGUCAUUGUUUACUAUUCUAGUCAAAGUCCAAAAUGGCAUGUUCUGUCACUAAGUUCCAAUCAUGUAAGACCCACCCGUAGGCUGUCUGGCCUGCGCCAUGCCUAAUGGCCCCGUGGUAGUCAACAUCCCCACUCUAGGAAUGAGCCUCCCCCACGGCAUCUCAUUUCGGCGCCCAAUCCUGCACGAGCGAGCAUAUGUCGCAAUGGCUAUCUCCGGAGUGCCGGCUUGUAGGGAGCGACCCUCACAAGCAUGUGCGAAUGAGCACAAUGGCAAGCAAGCGAAAGAUCUGUCUCAAGUACCAAGUCCUCAUGUCUAAAAACAUGGAAUAUAUGUCACAUAUCUCAAUGGCUUAUCUCUAUGUCAUCAUGUCUACAAUAUGGAAAAUAAAAGAUGUCCAUAGCCUAUUACUAUGUCCCAUUUAGUAGUUUCAAUGCCAAGUGCCCCUUUAUGACACUUUUGGUCUUUAUGUCCAAGCCUGAUAAUUAUGAUCAUGAAUGCAUAUUUCUAAUCAUUUUCAUCGUACGAGACAAGUACCCAACUCGCAAAAGAACCACUUCUCACAUGCAUGCUAAAAGCCCCGAAUACCCUACUACAUAAAGUGAAAAUUUUAUGAUACAUAAGGCAUGCAUUUUAAAGGUUCUAAAAUUCGCAUAAAUUCUAUUUAACAUGAAUAUGCAAUCAAAUUGACGUUACGACAAGUAUAGAAUACAUAGAGGCCAUUUUGCCCCGUUUUCAUGAAGCCAAACCCACCGGCCUCCUCGAAACCCUUCGUUUGCUCCAACGAAGGUGCCCCUAGCCUUCUAGUAUCCUAGAAGCAUCAAAAAGUGAGGCCAAAGAAGCAAACGAACAUCAAUGCGAUCAAACAUUAACCGACUCAACACAAGGCUAAAAACUCACCGAAUGCGAAGGGUGCUCUUUCGAUCUCCAAACAGGAGUAAGAGCCCUUCCAAUCCAACCUACACGAAGGUUCUAAACCCAUCAAGUGGGUUCUAAAGCCCACAAAUCACAAAUCCCCAAAUUCCAACCCUAGUAUCCAAAUCUAGGGUUUCAUCUAGUUCAAAGCAUCAAAACUAAAAUCUAGAGGAGGAGGAUAAGCUACAAACCUCUAAGAAGCUUCAAACCAAGCUCAAAGUCCUCUAGGUCCAAGAAUCUUCCCUCAAACAAGCCUCAAGUUCAAUGUAAGGAAGUGAAUUCUCGAAAUCCGAGGAUUGUACUUCGUCCAGGAUCGACUGAUUGUCGAGAGAAUACCCUUUGUGGGAGUUAAGAAUGCCCAAAACACAAAAAGUGCUUUGGAGUUGAGUCCGCGAGAGCAAAUGGUGCAAACUGCAUCAUUGGGCUAAGAUUACUCUCGGGGACCGGUCUCUGGAGGUGAGAGACCGGUUCCCCUGGCUGGGUGUAGCAGGGUUGCGUAAUGCAACCGGUCCCUGGCAGGGAGGGAUCGGUUCCCGAACGUGGUCCCAGCGAGAAUUGCCAAAAAUUAGCUAAGUCCUGAAAAAUCAAGCUCUCGGGGACCGGUCUCCCGAGGACCGGUCUCCCGGGGAAAGACCGGUUCCCGAACGCGAAAAGUCCCCAGACUGCAGGGAGAGCUCUCGGGGACCGGUCUCCCGGACCAGGGACCGGUCCCUCUGCGCGAAAACUGCCCAGUGAAGGCUGUGCAAUGGAUGAAAAGUUGAGGGGUCUAAAUGCAAAAUGGCAUUUAUUAGAGUGGGCUGAGCCCUCUCUCUCCCUCACACCCUCUCACUUUCUCUCUAUCCCUUACUCUCAUUUCUCUCUUGCUCCCUCUCUCUCUCUAGAAAGGAAAAGAAGGAGAAGAAGAACAAGAAGGAGAGGAAGGAAAAGAAGAGGAAGAUAAGGAAGGAGAAGAAGAAGGAGAUCAAGAGGAAGGCUUUGAGCACCUCCAUCUCCCUCUCCUCUUCCCAUUGGUGUAGCUCUUGAGGUAGGCUACUAAACCCUAGCUUUGUAAACUUAGGGUUUUUGGGUUUUUAUGCUUGGGAAUCGGUUAAAUGGACCCCAAGCAUGCUUCUAAGUAGAUCAAUCCCAUGAAUCUAGGGUUUUAUGAGUGGGAUUGCUAUAUGUGCAACCUAGGACUCCAAAUGGGGGCAUUUUGUAAAGUAUGAGAUUGAUCUCAUUUGAGGCCUUGUAAACCUCAUCGAUAGGUGCCCAGACGCGGGGGCGAAGUCGAUUUCGCGAUUCGUCGAGUGGGCUUAGAGCAAUCGGCGAAUUGCGGUCGUUUCGGCGUUACCUUGGACCAAGGAGGGCUAAAGCCUUUUCGCAAAGCUCGCCGGGGAGCGUUUCUAGAGCCUCUACGUUGGUAAAAGGUGGGGGGUGUCAUCCGAAACUUUCGAACUCCUUUCUAUGUCUUAGAUUGCAUUUAAUCUCAUCUCUUCAUGUUGCAUUGUAGGAUUGCAUAGUAGCUCCAUUCCUUAUACUUUCUAAUUGAUAACCUAGUGUACUUAGAACUCUUGGUAAUUUAGAUAGGUGAGGAUUGGGUCGAGACGUGAAUCCUAUAGUGCGAAAGAAAAGAGAUGAACCUGAUGGGGGUAUUGAUGACAUAGGAAGUAGUGGAUAGUGUUAAAGAACACGAGUGGCAUCCGAAUGAUAAAUGAUGACGAGUGGCAUUAAUGUAGUGUAAAUAACACUAGAGGUCGAUGGACCUAGGGAUAGGUGGAUCCCUUAGAAAAUGCCUUGUGAACAAUGAAUUUAGAAAACUAAAUAGCAUUGCAUGAAUGUCGGGAACCGAUGAUUCCGCGAUAGUCAUUGACCCUAGUGUAGGGCGUCCUCACUUGGAGAGGAUUCGAUUGGAUUAUUGACUCUAGUUGUAGAGCCUCCUUACUUGGAGAGGAUUGGAUUGGGUGUUGAACCUAGUUACAGUGUAUCCUCACAUGGAGAGGAUAGAUUUAGCUCACAAUCUGCGUUAGGGUGGCAUAGCCAUCCGAUCCCCACAUGGAGGGGAUUGUCGUCGAGUACUCCGGAGUGUCGCGCGACUAGGACCACUUGGAGGUCCGGACCACAUGGAGGUCCGCAGACGGUCCCGGGCUUGGGUGCACUUGGAGCUCCCUCCCAACUUUGUUAUUGAAAGAUGAGUUAUGGGUGAGCCCUAGGGCCUCGCCACAGAUUGGGUAAAUGAAAGGUUAAAGGUUAAUAAAUGUCAUUGAACAUACCCAUUCGAAC
rnacentral:lncRNA from 1 species